rnacentral:rRNA from 1 species
UUCGGAUUGUAGUCUGCAACCCGACUACAUGAAGCCGGAAUCGCUAGUAAUCGCGGAUCAGAAUGCCGCGGUGAAUACGUUCCCGGGUCUUGUACACACCGCCCGUCACACCAUGGGAGUCGGGAAUGCCCGAAGUCAGUGACCCAACCCAAGGGAGGGAGCUGCCGAAGGCAGGCCUGGUGACUGGGGUGAAGUCGUAACAAGGUACC